AAGUUACAUGUCUUAACUCAGCAUUAGUUUAUAUUUACUUAUAUUUAAGUAAGAAUUCAUUUAGGUAUACGUUCAAUGUUUCCAAUGAUGAGCAGUUAAUCCACUAAACCCAAAGAUAAUUCCUGAGGCAUGUUUAAAGAGUUUUGUAUUUCAUCAAGUAAGUGCUGAUUCACAAAGAUUAUAUAUUUAAGAAAAUCUGAGCAUCAUUCAAAAUAACUGUUAACAUGUUUGUCAACUAAACAUGUUUUGUCAACGUUAUAAACUUUAUAGAAAUAUUUUUUAUUAAUGACCAAGUAUAAAGAACAAUGCAUAGUGUGAAAACGCGGAUUAUAUAAAAGUAUAUAAUAAAGUGCGAGCAGAGAAUCUUGGGCUGGAAUGAUUGUAGUGCAUCCAAUGCACCUUGGAAAUCGUAGUUUACAUCUACAGCAGCAUAUGCUACAGCAGUGACAACGCCAAAGAAAAGGACUACAUUUCCCAGAAUGCACCUGCACCCACUCAUCUGCCCCUUCAGGUGCGACCGCUUCACCUAUGGGCUUGACGGGAAAAUUCAAAAUCGCGAACCGUUACAGCCUGGACGGUGUCUUUGUUUGCUUGCACAUCAACAGUAAGAGGUCAUGUACACUGUGGUCAACUUUGUGGACGCUGAAGAGGUUUCUGGGUAAAGAUGAUAAAAAUAUAAUUAAGUAACAGUGGAAGCUAAAACAUCAGACUGAUCCAGACACUGAAGAAAUUGAUGUCACUGCAAUCUGGCCAAAAUGAUACAACUAUGUUGAAGUAGCCUACUGUAAUGCAGCUGCAGAACGUCACAGAGACUCUUGAGGACAUCAACACAGAAAAUCAAGGGUCCAAAGAGAUGUCUGUCCAGAUGAGGGUGCAUCAACGUUACCUUUGCUGACAAGUAUAUGCUUUUAGCAGUUAACUUAACUCAAACCAUUUAAGGAAAUCGGUUGCCUUAAACCAUUAAGUUUUAAAAAACAUACAUUUGAGUACUUUGAACUUAAGUCUUGUGUAAUUAUGCACUUAUAUUUAGGUAGCGUGAACUUAAACAAAUUGAGUCACAUGCAGUUAAGCACUUAUAUUUAAGUUCACAGUACUCAAAUCUAUGUGUUUUAAAACUUGAAUGGUUUAAUGCAACCGGUUUUCUUAAAUGUGAGAAAUUACAGUGUUACAGUGAGAAAUGUUUGAAUAAUUCCAAGACAGAGCUCUGUGAUUAAUUCUACACUGCAAAAAAUCACUUUCUAACACUUUUUAUCUUGUUUUCAGUAGAAAAACUAAAAAUUCUUAAAUCAAGAUGUAUUUUCUUGAUGAGCAAAAUUACCUUAGAAAAUAUGUCUAGUUUUUAGACAAAAAUAUACAAUUUAAGAUAAUUUGUGCCUAAACAAGCAAAAAUAUCUAACAUUGGGGUGAGAAAAUUGUGUUUUAAUUAAGUUUUUAAGAUAAAAGAAAACUUAAGAUUUUUUUUCUCACACUAUUGGAAGAUAUUUUUGCUUGUUUUAAGCACAAUUUCACUUAAUGUAUGUGUGUGUAUUUUAUUUAUUUAUUUAUUUUGUCUAAAACUAGACUUAUUUUCUUGGGUCAUUUUGUUCCUCAAGAACAAGCAUUUUAAUUUAAAUAAUAUUUGUACUGAAAAGAAGACAAAAAUACUAUGUAAGAAAGUCAUUUUUUGCAGUGUAGGACUGAUUUCUUAAGAGCACAAUCAAUAUAGUUGUUGUUCAUUUUAUUUAGACAUUUACUACAUUACAGUGGCAGCUGGUGACGACUUUUUUUUUGUGAGCACUCGAUGCGAAGUUUGUCACAACAUGUAUAUAGCCCGUCAUUUGUGUGGUUCUCAAUUUCAAAAUAUGUGUUCUGCGUGUAUGUGUAUCACGUGUUUUGACUAAACACGUGAUGCACGUGGUUUACAUGAAGCAACAAACACGUAUUUUAAAAACACAAGCAACACACAUGACACUCCGAACACUUAUUUUGAAUUUGCAACCCUCGGAUGAGCAGUCACGAGCCGCCACUGCUACAUUACAUUGUACUGCUUUGAAUGUAGUUUUCAUUGUUGCUUUUAUUUUGUUUUAUUUUACUCUAAUAUUGCUUUCUCUGUCUGUAUAUUUAUGAGUUUAAAUUGUAUUGUUUAU